UACGAGCAUAUCACGUUCAAACACGGGUUCUCGUGCGAUCACCGAAGUUAAGCAACAUUGAUUCUGCUCAGUCCUGAGAUGAGUAACCGCUUUGAAAUACCGGGGACUGUAAU